UACUAUAAAUUGAAUGAUAAAUAAGAAAUAUUAGGUUAUCUUUCAAAAUAUAGGAAACCUAUAUGUCAUUAUAAAAGAGUUCACUUCUGCAACAUAAUGCACAGUUACAACAUGCUAAAUUACAAUAUUAAUUUUCUAGGCACUUUGUAAUGAUUUAUUUAUUGAGAUUCAUCUGGUGCUUCUAUUAUAUCAAUGAAGUACUAAGAUAUUGCCUUUCUUCUCGCUCCUUUCUCUCUUUGUGUCUCUACUUUUCCUGAUUAUUGUACAACUGGAUAAGAUCAAUGAGAAACUGGAUUCAUGGGAUAGUCCAGGCAGAACCACGUAGGAAAAUGUUGGCUUGGCCUGACCAUAUCGAUCCUGACUCGUUAGCAGGACUCAAGCAAAGGAACAACAGAGAAUCCUAGCCCAGCCACAUAAGUACAUUUAAACUCUCAGCUUUAUGUCACAUCUACUUAAAUUCCAUUAGCCAAAGCACCAUGACCAAGCCCAACAUCAGGCACUGGAGCGGGAAAAGACUGGGCUAUGGUUCUAAGGAAGAUGAAAGACGUAUGGAGCAGACCUGGAGCCAGUCUGCAGCCUGCGGCCAAGGCCAGCUGGGCCCAAAUUAGGUCAUCCAACCCCACCUCCUCUGCAGACAGAACAUCUGUUUCUUCAUGAACUUUGGAAAUAUAAAUCCAAAAUGCCUGAACAGGAAUGCUCAUGGAAUUCUGAUGAACAAGAGUUUUCUGAAAAGCUUGUCCCCAGAUUCUUACUUCUGCAAG